rnacentral:tRNA from 1 species
AGGGGUGUCGUACAGUGGUAGUACAACGGUCUCCAAAACCGUGGACGCGGGUUCAAUUCCUGCCACCCCUGCCA